AGCGACAGGCCUAACACAUGCAAGUCGAGGGGCAGCAUAAAGGUAGCAAUUCUUUGGUGGCGACCGGCGCACGGGUGAGUAACACGUAUGCAACCUACCUGUAAGCGGGGAAUAACCCGGAGAAAUCCGGACUAAUACCGCAUAAUACUGUAAUACCACAUGGUAUAACAGUUAAACAUUUAUGGUUUACAGAUGGGCAUGCGUAUGAUUAGUUAGUUGGUGAGGUAACGGCUCACCAAGACAACGAUCAUUAGGGGUUCUGAGAGGAAGGUCCCCCACACUGGUACUGAGACACGGACCANACUCCUACGGGAGGCAGCAGUGAGGAAUAUUGGUCAAUGGGCGAGAGCCUGAACCAGCCAAGUCGCGUGAAGGAAGAAUGUCCUAUGGAUUGUAAACUUCUUUUGUAAGGGAAUAAAAAGUAUCACGUGUGAUAUAUUGUAUGUACUUUACGAAUAA
rnacentral:rRNA from 1 species